rnacentral:rRNA from 1 species
GUAGGCGGUUUAAUAAGUGAAUAGUGAAACCUGGUGGCUCAACCAUACAGACUAUUAUUCAAACUGUUAAACUCGGGAAUGGUAGAGGUAACNUGGAAUUUCUAGUGUAGGAGUGAAAUCCGUAGAUAUUAGAAGGAACACCGAUGGCGUAGGCAGGUUACUGGGCCAUUUCUGACGCUAAGGCACGAAAGCGUGGGGAGCGAACCGGAUUAGAUACCCGGGUAGUCCACGCCGUAAACGAUGGAUACUAGCUGUUGGAGGUAUCGACCCCUUCAGUAGCGAAGCUAACGCGUUAAGUAUCCCGCCUGUGGAGUACGGCCGCAAGGCUAAAACAUAAAGGAAUUGACGGGGACCCGCACAAGCGGUGGAUUAUGUUCUUUAAUUCGAUGAUAACCGAAGAACCUUACCAGGGCUUGACAUCCAGGGAAGGUCUGCGAAAGUAGACUGUGCCUUUUGGAACCCUGUGACAGGUGAUGCAUGGCCGUCGUCAGCUCGUGUCGUGAGAUGUUAGGUUAAGUCCUUCAACGAGCGCAACCCUUGUGAAUAGUUGUAUUUUUCUAUUCAGACUGCCCCCGUAACGGGGAGGAAGGAGGGGAUGAUGUCAGGUCAGUAUUUCCCUUACGUCCUGGGCUAGAAACGUAAUACAAUGGCUAGUACAAUGCGCAGCGAAGCCCCGAGGUGAAGCAAAUCGCAUCAAAGCUAGUCC